GGGAAGCGGGCUGGCAGCGGGGCUCGGGUCCUGGCUCUGUGGGCUGUCCCUGGGUGAGCCUUCUUACCUCAUCUGCAAAAUGGGCGCAGCGGUGCACACCUGAGGCAAGGGAAAUUGGGUGGUGCCUCCGAGUGGUAACUAGGAACGCCCUUCAGCCUAGCCCUGGGAAGAUACCGGCACCAGAUACCGCCUCUGCUCUCCAGGCGCCGGGGCCGCCGCCUCCAUGCUGAGUUUGCUGCGGAACGAGACUGGGAACAGUUCCAUCAGCCUCGGAAUCUCCUCCUGGCCUUGGUUGGGGAAGUGGGGGAGCUGGCAGAACUCUUUCAGUGGAAAACCGAUGGGGAACCUGGCCCCCAAGGCUGGUCCCCCAGGGAACGGGCAGCCCUUCAAGAGGAGCUUAGUGACGUCCUCAUCUACCUGGUGGCAUUAGCAGCCCGCUGCCGUGUGGAUCUGCCGCUAGCAGUGCUCUCCAAAAUGGACAUCAACCGGCGACGCUACCCAGCCCAUCUGGCCCGCAGCUCUUCCCGCAAGUAUACAGAAUUGCCCCAUGGGGCCAUCUCUGAAGACCAGGCUGUGGGGCCUGCGGACAUUCCCUGUGACUCCACAGGCCAGACCUCAACCUAGAAAGAUGGCCACAGGACUUGCAACUCAGGGUGGUGUCUGAAGAGCAGAGAGUGGCCUGGCCCUGGAGCCUUUUUCUAGUCUUUUCAGAAUAGAUCAUGGGCCUGAGGCCUCCACUUCUUGAGGUCUGAGGCCCAGCAGCCUCUAGAAGGUAGCCUCCUGGUGUUUGUUCUCCCAGUAAAAUGGUUUUGGGCGAUAACUUCUAGAUUAUUCCUGGAUGGCCAGGGAGGCUCUCUGUCUCAGCAGGUGAUGACGGGGGUACCAGGGGUGCCUCUGAGACCCAUUCUCGUGUUUCCCUGUUGUACCUUUUGCCUGCAGGGCAGAGAGAUCUGGUUUCUAGCAAAUUCCCAGUAGGAUGUCAUGUAAGUUCCUUCCCCCUCUUAGAGAUUGAAGGCUGUAAGAGUCCAGAUGGUGGAGCCAGGCUGUCUGGGUUCAAAUGCCAUCUUUGACACUUGCAAGCUAAAUGACAUUACUCAAAUUAAUCGUUCUGCACUUCAGCUUCCUUGUCUAUCAAAUAAAAAGAAUAGUACCUGCCCAAUAGGGUCGUGAGGUUUCAAUGAGUUAUGUGAAUGCUCAGGGCGGGGCCUGGCACAUAGUAAAGUACACUUGGUAAGUUUUGCA